GCGGUGGAGCAUGUGGUUAAUUCGAAGCAACGCGAAGAACCUUACCAGGUCUUGACAUCCCGAUGCUAUUUCUAGAGAUAGAAAGUUACUUCGGUACAUCGGUGACAGGUGGUGCAUGGUUGUCGUCAGCUCGUGUCGUGAGAUGUUGGGUUAAGUCCCGCAACGAGCGCAACCCCUAUUGUUAGUUGCCAUCAUUCAGUUGGGCACUCUAGCGAGACUGCCGGUAAUAAACCGGAGGAAGUGGGGAUGACGUCAAAUCAUCAUGCCCCUUAUGACCUGGGCUACACACGUGCUACAAUGGUUGGUACAACGAGUUGCGAGUCGGUGACGGCGAGCUAAUCUCUUAAAGCCAAUCUCAGUUCGGAUUGUAGGCUGCAACUCGCCUACAUGAAGUCGGAAUCGCUAGUAAUCGCGGAUCAGCACGCCGCGGUGAAUACGUUCCCGGGCCUU
rnacentral:rRNA from 1 species